rnacentral:rRNA from 1 species
AACGAACGCUGGCGGCAGGCCUAACACAUGCAAGUCGAGCGAGACCUUCGGGUCUAGCGGCGGACGGGUUAGUAACGCGUGGGAACGUACCCUUUUCUACGGAAUAGCCUCGGGAAACUGAGAGUAAUACCGUAUACGCCCUUCGGGGGAAAGAUUUAUCGGAGAAGGAUCGGCCCGCGUUAGAUUAGAUAGUUGGUGGGGUAAUGGCCUACCAAGUCUACGAUCUAAAGCUGGUUUGAGAGGAUGAUCAGCAACACUGGGACUGAGACACGGCCCAGACUCCUACGGGAGGCAGCAGUGGGGAAUCUUAGACAAUGGGCGCAAGCCUGAUCUAGCCAUGCCGCGUGAGUGAUGAAGGCCUUAGGGUCGUAAAGCUCCUUCGCCUGUGAAGAUAAUGACUGUAGCAGGUAAAGAAACCCCGGCUAA